rnacentral:tRNA from 3 species
CGGCAUGCUGGUCGCCAAUCGCAUGCGACUGGAUCGGUUCCUGGCCGAACUCGGCCGUUAUCGGCAGGGCCUGGUGCAGUGCGAGUCCGAACUGGCCGGC